GCGCGCUCAAAUUGCUCAGGUGCUCUUUUCAAUCGAAUAUUAUCGUUUGGAAAACAAGAGAUAAUCGGGAAGUUAGUGCAACACACGUGUUGAAAUCUAACGCUGCCCCCGCAACGGUAGUACUGAAUAUCAGUUAAGCCCGGAGACCGGCCUGUCAAAUGUUACAAAUU
rnacentral:ncRNA from 17 species